rnacentral:lncRNA from 1 species
UUCCUCUCAAGCACUGAGAAAGGGCUCAGGUGUAUCUGGUGGCCGGCAGAGCAGGUAGUCAGCCAAGGCUUCAUAGUUCUCACCCACGGCAAUUCAGCUAGCAAACUAGAGACACUUCCCCAAGAAGACACAGCGUGGCAAGACUGCUGAGACGCAUAAAGAAAUCUUAGCUGGAAUGCCUUCUCAGAAUCUUGAUUUUCAAAGUGAUGGAUUGGGAGAUCCCAAGCCAUGAAUGUUUCCUGGUUGAAUGUUCUGUUGUAGAAGAAUGCAACUGAGUUUUCUAAACAGAUCUUCUUCUUGACAUCCUUGCUGAACGAGAGCAAAGGAGACAGCUGGGAGCAGAUGGGCAAAUCCCAGUUUGCCCAAAGAAAUGUCUAUUUUCCAAGGGGCAUGAAGAAUUUAGGAAUAAAGCAGAUCUGAUUUCUAAUUCUGACUUUGCUACUGGCAAAUUGUGUGGACUCAGGAAAGUGACCGGCCCUCUUUAAGACUCAGUGUGCUUACCUCUGAAAUGGAGCUGUCAAUCACAUCUGCCUCACAGGCUUGUUCUGAGGAUGAAGUGAGAAAAUGCCCACGAGGUGCUGGUUGCAGCAGCUGGUGCAUAGAGCUUAAAAAGGAUGCAGUCCCAAAACAUAGAAGGAUUUACUCCAGAUCCAAGCAAUGAGUCAGGAACAGAAAGCCUGAUGCCCUCACCUGGAACUCUCCCUCCUCCCUGGAUGAGGACCUUCCCCAGAAUUGCAGGGCACCCACACAAGACCAAGCAAGUUCAGAGAAAAUUGAAACCUGACUUUAGAGCCUCUGGGAUGUUCACUACACCUCAUUGAACCUGUUUGGUUCACAGAGCUCCAACUACCGUCUACUUCCUGCAACUGGCCUGCUGCCAACUCCCCAGAUCUCUUGUGGAGCUGCCGGAAGAGACAGCCUGCCACAGAAGAAAGCAGCCCUCCUCUUUCAUGGCCUCCCACAUCUUGAAACAAACACAAGCAAACAAAACAAAAGCUUGAGUCCCAGCCUGAUUCACCAGGUUUGGUUCCCAAUUGUUGAAAUUCCCUUCCCAGGGCUCUCAGAACCAGGGUUGGCUGGAGGGGUGAAAGAGGCUGGCCCUGAGCCCAGUAAUAGGACACCAAGGGGGAGCUAAAAGCUGGGAUCUGGGGUGAAGAUGGGGUCUUCCAAGCUGGGAGGCAGACACCAGGCCAGAGCAACCGGCCUGCCCCAGCUCAGGCCUCUUAACCCAUGCAGGGCAAGAGUAUAAACAGAGGCCACGGACCACAUGCCUCAGUAUUUAAACUUAUAAAUCAAGCUAACAUAACAUGAAAUCAAAUAUGUUCUAUCCUCCUAGCUUGACAAAUACUUUCAUAACGAGAUGGAAUGCCAGGUUCAGAUUUAGAAUUUUCACACUCCUUAAAGUUCCAAGUCAAAAUACAGCAUUAGGGGAGGGCCCCCAACCUCGAGGUCUCCCCUCCCCCAUUUUCUUUCACUCCCAGCUCUGUCUCACACCACGAGGGAUCUUGGGUGAAUGCCCCUCGAUACCCCAGCCCCCCACAAACAGCUGCCCUUUCCCCCCUUGGCCAAGGGUAAGCACAGCAGCAGGGCAGUCUGCCCUUGGCUGGAGAGAUGGAAGGAGAGGCCACACGGGCCCUGAAAAUGCAUUUGGGGACUCUUGGGCAGGAAACUUGGGAGUUUCUGGAGCCUCAAGGAGGGUCUAGUGGGACAGAGCCACUUGGGCCCAUGAGAUCCUUGACCCAUGGAGAAGGGUAGGGCUAGAGGAGGGCCAGGGCAGGCCCUAUGAACAGAAGAACCUAGAGUAACUGCCCUGUCCCCAGAUCCUGUCACCGAGCAGGUAUACUUGGGAGGGUAUUGGAGGGUGGAACCCAAGGGAGCUUGCCCAAGGCACUAGGAAAGAAAAGUGUAAACCUUGUUAGAGAAUGCUAAGGAUAGCUGUUAAAGCCUCAGAGAUUUUACUCAUUUUUGGCUGUUUCUAAAAAUCUUCCCCCAAAGGAAGAUCUUGCUCUCAUUGAGGAUCUGAGAAAGAAUUCUCUCCAAGUAGUUUCAAAACAUUCUGAUGUAAAAACUCUGGUGUGUUAGUCAAAAAUAAAUUUUGUUGCUUGAUGGCUUCACCAUUCACAAAAUAUUCUAUCCAUCCAAUUUAAAAAUAAGAGCAGGGUAUUUAAAACUCUUUCAAUAAACACAAAUUAAAACAAUG